rnacentral:lncRNA from 10 species
CAGUGGGCAUCGGCAUUGCCGUGGUCAUGGUGAAUAUUUGGCAUGAUCUUCAGUAUGAUCUUGUGCUGUGCUAUCCGCAGGAACCGCGAGAUGGUCUAGAGUCAGCUUACAUCCCUGAGCAGGAAAGUUUACCCAUGAAGAUUGGUGGGAUUUUUUGUUUGUUUGUUUUGUUUUGUUUGUUGUUUGUUGUUUGUUUUUUUGCCACUAAUUUUAGUAUUCAUUCUGCAUUGCUAGAUAAAAGCUGAAGUUACUUUAUGUUUGUCUUUUAAUGCUUCAUUCAAUAUUGACAUUUGUAGUUGAGCGGGGGGUUUGGUUUGCUUUGGUUUAUAUUUUUUCAGUUGUUUGUUUUUGCUUGUUAUAUUAAGCAGAAAUCCUGCAAUGAAAGGUACUAUAUUUGCUAGACUCUAGACAAGAUAUUGUACAUAAAAGAAUUUUUUUGUCUUUAAAUAGAUACAAAUGUCUAUCAACUUUAAUCAAGUUGUAACUUAUAUUGAAGACAAUUUGAUACAUAAUAAAAAAU